rnacentral:rRNA from 1 species
CAGUAGCCGCGGUAAUACGUAGGUCCCGAGCGUUGUCCGGAUUUAUUGGGCGUAAAGCGAGCGCAGGCGGUUAGAUAAGUCUGAAGUUAAAGGCUGUGGCUUAACCAUAGUACGCUUUGGAAACUGUUUAACUUGAGUGCAGAAGGGGAGAGUGGAAUUCCAUGUGUAGCGGUGAAAUGCGUAGAUAUAUGGAGGAACACCGGUGGCGAAAGCGGCUCUCUGGUCUGUAACUGACGCUGAGGCCCGAAAGCGUGGGGAGCGAACAGGAUUAGAUACCCCAGUAGUCCCUGUCUCUUAUACC